rnacentral:lncRNA from 1 species
CAUGUCUCCAUUUGUUAAUUUUUCAAAACUGUGUAUGAUUUCUAAAUAAUGCAUCAGAAUUACAUCAGAAUUGCAUCAGAAAUACAAUGAAGCCACCGUUACUAUUUCUCCUUGAAUAUUCCAUGUUCCAAAAAUUACAACACUCAGGAGAUACAUCAUAACUCACAUCUUGAUCUUUUUGAUAUGCCAAUGAGCUGUGCUGGCAGACUUGACUUGAAUCCAACUCUUUAAAGUCUGCCGUGCCUGUUCAUUCUUAUCUGGGUUACUAUUGACCACGAGACAAAGUUCACCAUUCAGCCUUUUUAGAAACAACCUUUUGAAAGUACAAGAUAUUUUGAGAAGCAAACAGAGGAAAUGAAUGAAGUGGCAUGAAUGGCAAUUGGCAGUGCACGCGUUUCAGAGGGUGCUCCAGAGGGAGGGGCUGAGACUACAGUUCUGUUUUGCAAGGACCAUGGUGACCACGAACCCCACAAAACAACUGGCCACUGAAUUUCUGGAUACCUGACAAUAUGGAUAGUCUGCUCUGGGUUAACUUCAUUAGGAACAGCUGUGGCUUGGUGCAGGCACAGAGCUGGACAAAUAUCCAAAAGAGCUACAAUGUCUUCUGCUCUGUCACUGAACACAACAACCUGCUGCUCAGCAGAAGUUUCUCUGAUGAUCUGGAAGGGAAGCACAGAUUCGUGCCAAAAAGAAAUCUGCUGACCUGACACAGGGACUGUUCUCCCACUCUGAUCUUAUAAGUACACAGGUGAGCAAGUAUUAAAUGUGCAGGAGCUCCAUGAUGUCUCCUCGGGAAUUGUUCUCACUUGUUCUCAUUGAUUAACAAUGCUUCAUUUGGCAAAUGUCAUUUCAGUAAGUAGAAAGACUUCUGUUCCUUUAUGCUUCUGUCCUUAUUUCUUAACCUGUCUUACUUCACACUUUGUGUAAAUUCAGCAAUGACUUCUUUGGAUUCUUCCUUCAGCCCAUUCUCUGACCUUCCCAAAGGCUAUCUCCACCCGAGAGCUGUCAAAGUUUUCUGACAGCACAAACCACACACCAUACUGCCUUCUCCUUGAAGUUCUUGGAAAUUUUCCAUUUUCUACCCAACUCACAAAUACCAAUUCCCAUCAGUAUUGUAAUACCAUGCCUCUUUUUGUAGCACACACUGCUAUCCCUAAUCUCCAACUUGUGGGGUUUUGCCUACUUUUUAAAUGUCUAGCUUUUAGGUUAGGGAAAGUGUUUUAGUCUUGCUCUUGGACGGUUUCAAGCUUGCAGUUGAUACUUAGCAAAACAGAAAUAACAGUCUGCAUUUUU